AGCCUUUCCGUUAAUUUGACCUAUUUGUAUUUAUUGAAUGCUUUCUGAUCUUUGUGUCACUCACAGCAUCCAUACCCCUCAGAGGAGCAGAAAAAGCAGCUAGCACAAGACACAGGCCUCACCAUCCUUCAAGUGAACAACUGGUUCAUCAAUGCAAGGAGAAGAAUAGUCCAACCAAUGAUUGACCAGUCCAACAGAACAGUGAGUCAGGGUACAACUUACAGUCCAGAUGGCCAGCCAAUGGGAGGCUUUGUUC